GUGUGUUGUGUGUGUGUGUGUGUGUGUGUGUGUGUCUGAGUGUGUGUAGAUAUUGCACUAUCACAGGCUGUUGUAGCUGAAUGUAGUUCAUCUCUUCAUCUAUCAGACUGUUUGAAGUCUGAUUUCUGUCAGUAUUUUCUUUGCACAAAUGUAUGUGUGCGUGUGUGUGUCUGUGUGUGUGUGUCUGUGUGUGUUU